rnacentral:lncRNA from 1 species
GCCAGGCAUGGCAGCUGGCGCCUGUAAUCCCAACUACUUGAGAGGCUGAGGCAGGAGAAUUGCUUGAACCCAGGAGGUGGAGGUUGCAGUGAGUUGAGUAGCAGAGCAAGACUCUGUCUCUCUGUCUCUCUCUCUCUCUGUCACACACACACACACACACACACACACACACACACACACGCACACACAGAGAAACAUCCCAGUGUGGUUAAACCUCUGGGCCUCUUCCUGCCUCUGAUUUUCAUCAAUGAGAAUGGGAGAAUAUUAACUUCUCUCACAGGAUACAGAGUAUGUUAAGGAGUCGUAAUUCAUCAAUGUUGUAUUGGUUUUUCUCUUUCUUUCUUUCUUUCUUUUUUUUUUUAUCCUUUGUUGGUGCUUUGCUGUCUGUGUGGAGGACACAGAGAGUCAUAAACCACGAUCUCCUCUCUUCCAGAGUUCCUUCUUGGCGUUAGAGUCAUCGGCCGGCUGUGUUGUAGCCAAUGUGCUGAGCUUUGCGGCUCCUGGAGCUAGCUCCCUUCCUCUCCGCUGCCUCCAUGCGUGGAGGUCACUUGCUGGAACGCAGAUGUGUGCAAUGCCCAGAGAUCCAAGUAAAAUAUCUCAACCGGUUCUUGUGGUUGUGGAAACACCUUUGGCUCCCAGAUGGUUGACACUGACAAACAGAAGUCCCUGCUCCGUCUGACAUCACGUGGCUCAGCUGCCUUCUCAAAAAGUGAGCUUCCUGUGUGGAUAAGGCAGCCCCAUAGCCAGCCUGGCAACAGACAGCUUCAUGAGAAGGGAAAAGAUGAAGACGGAUUCCCGGGCGAGGCCGACAGUGAGGCCGACAGUGGAUCCGCCAUUCCUGCCUGAGCCUCUUCCACAGCUGUCCUUUUUAGAGGUCACCAGACCUUCCUCACACAGACCUCAUGGUGCCCGCACCUGGACUCAUUAGAAGGUUCUGUUGCCUUAGCUUAGUAAAUUUUCAUGGAGAGCUUUAAGUUUUUCUUUUUGCAUGUUAUCCUCAUGGUUGUACUCUCCAGGGGGCUUGUUCCUUCGGUAAUUAUCUUUAAUGACGGUAUUUCCAUAUUGACGCGAGGUGGGUGGGGUGUUGAAGAGAGAGGGAGACUCGAGACGGUGCAUUGACUCUGGAUUACAUUAGAGGGGUUAGAUGGAUGAGUGUUAGUUACAUCCCAAUCAGAACAUUUGCACCACUAGGUUUCACCAAAUGCCAAUCAUACUGGACUGAGCUCCUCUGCUCCUCUCCCUGAAACAUUAACAAAAAGUCAUUAACAAAAAGCCUUCCUGUUCUGAAGGCAAAUAUCUAUCUAUCUAUCUCAUCAGUCUUAGGGCUGGAAGAGAUGCAGCUCUGGGCUGGCUCUGAUGCGGACUUGUCACAAAGGCUUGGCUCUGCCCACGUGACCGUAUCCUUGGAAGAAAAAAAAAAUGGGGAUGCACAAAGUGACCAGCACAGGGUAUUCGUGAUGACCGGGGAACAGAGAUUGAGAAAGCAAGAGCCUUCCUGGCAAAUCUGGGUUCAGACGCGGCAGAGACAGCUGUUUCCAGCCACUGCUAUGAACCCAUCUAAGUGAAAUUGUGAGGACUAAGGAGAGAGGCACCCAUGACUGCCUUAAUCCACUCCUACCCAUCGUCUCUUCACCCAUCCACCCAUCCUUGCUGCAGACCUUUACUGGGCACCUGUGCCAGGAGACCAUCACUGCCCAUCAGAAGCUCAUACAGGGAGAAGCAGUGGCCACAGCAGAAGGCGUCCCGGGUCCUAGAGAGCACCUGGAGAACAAGGGAGAGCUGCAGAAACCGCCCUGUCUGCAUGUGUGCCCUCAUGUUCUUGGGUGCAUGUCUGUGUUUGUGUGUGUGUUUGCUUAUGUGCAUGUGCAGUGUGUGUGUGUUCGAGACAGAGCGAGACUGAGAGUGCAAGUGGGUGUAAGCACACACACCCACCCGUCAGCCCUGCCUGUCUGCUCAGAGUUUUGCCUGUCACCCGGCCACGCCCUGUGACCCCCCUCCUCGGCUGGGUGCAGCCAGGACACCUGUUGCCAGCUGCGAGCACCUGCCUGGUUGCUGCGCCCGUGUCCUGUGCAUGUUCCAAGCCAGCCCCCUGGGGUAAUCCAGGCCAUGACUCAGGAACGUCAUGUUGGGACACCCGAGACCCCCAGCCCCUGCCCUAGGGGUCAGGGCAGCAGGUCCCAUCUCCCUUAGCUGGGCUGGGCCCAGGCAGCCUGUAUCACUGUUUGCUCCAGAGGCUGGGUGCGUCCUGCUUGGGGGCUGUGUGAGGCCCGCUUGUUUUCACCCACAGAUUCCCAGGGUUCUCAAGGCAGAGGAAAGCGACAAUUAGGGCAACACCCAUGUUGGUUGGAUCAGAGUGAAUCCCAGGCCUGCUUGGGAGGCUUUAGGCACUCAGCUCGGCCAUCUCUGAGGGUAAGGGCAUGUCAGCCACUCUGCUGGGGCAUCUCUGUGCUCAGCACCAUGUGGGCUCAUCACAGACACAAGAGUGCGUCCUCUCAGAGGGAAUGGUCUGGCAGGUUUUGCCUGUUUUCCUGCUCACAGGUUGAAUUUCUUGGCCAGCAUCCCAUAGCCAGGCCAGAGCGGAGCAGGGCUGCCUGCUGCACCCAGUGGCUUCUUGUCAAUCUCGGCCUCUCGUUCCCUGCCUGGGAGAGGGUCUCAGUGUGAAGGGCAGAGGGGUCUUCUGGAACCAGCCAGUGCUGUGUCGGAGAGAAAGACCAGGAGGAAAUUGGAGGGGUACAGGCCUGAAACUCUCCCGCUGCCUUGCCAGGCACCCAAACCUGCUUGACCUGAGUGUCUUUCCGGCGGCGGGUGGGGGGGAGGGGGGUGGGGCGUGCUGCAUCGCUUACUUUGCCUGUGUCUUAGGGGAGCCUACCCAUUGCCCUCCAGCACCGGCGAACAAAGACCCCCACGGUGGCCAGGCCUGUGCGGGGUGUAAACAGUGUCCCAGGGUGUCUUGGUGUCCUCACUACUACAUCCUCCACGUUCCAGAGGAGAAACUGAGGCCCGAGGACACCCAGAAUUUCCCAGGGUCACACCAAGGGGAAACAGGUGACGUUGAAGUGGACACAGGGUGAUGAGAGGGGUGCAGAAAAGGAGAUACCCUGGCAUGCCAAGCCUGGGGCUGGUUGUCCACAUCCAGGAAGGUCCCUGCAAGGUUGUGGCACCUUUUCAUGGCAAGCAGACGCAGCACCAUGAAUACCCACAGCCACUCCUAAGGGCCCCUUCAUGCGGUGGCUGUGCCCAGCACUGGGCACGCAGGAACCAAGGCCCAGAGAGUUCUGGGUGGGUGGGGAGAGCUAGAGCCUUCCUUCUGGGCUCCAGGGCUUUUCAGUAGCACCACUGGCUUUCUAGAAGGUUGCUGUGUGAUUGGAAACUUGUGCUUUGAGAUACGAUUAUCUGUGUGGGGAGGAGGUUGUACUGGAGUCAGCAGUGAGGGGUGGCAGCACUAGGCCAGAAAUGGAUGUGGGGUCCUCUUGCGUGGAGCUGCCACUCCCCCAGCCACUCUGUCCUUACAACCAAAACCCCAAAAGGGGGCUGAGCCGGCCCUUGUGAGUGAGAGUAGAGGAGAAGGAAGGGGCUGUGGGGGGAGAGAAGCACAUGGAGCUGGCCCACGUGGAGAGAGGGACCCUGGGUGGCAGGGUGGCGUUGGGGGAGAUUUGCCAUCAGAGUGACCUUAGUGACUGUGCCACCUCGACCCUGACCUGGGCAAUGCCUGUGAGGGCACUGGGGCCCAAGGUCCCAGAGGAGCAGGGGAACUAAGAUGUGGCUCUCACAGAACCUCAAAUGUAUCUCCAGACAUCCACAUAUCUGCACCUGACACACAUUUCUGGAACAGCUACUUGGCCAAGCACCACCAGUUUGUCUCUAUGCCCCUCUUGCUGGGGAGCCCAGUCUGGGGCAAAGGAAGGCACAGGGGCAUCCGCUCCAGGCUUUCCAGAAUAGGCAGAACACAGAAGGGGUGCCCGCCGGACACGCGGAGGGAGGAGAUGAGAAGAGUCCCCAGCGCCAGAAGGGGUGGAGACGGCCUUGCUGGGGCAGGGCCACAGGUCACCUGCUGCUGGGCUCUGGCUGCAGUGGGAAACAACCAAAGUUUUAAAAAGAGGGUGAACCUCUUAGGAAAGGAAAUGACAUUUAUAAAGAGGUAGGGACGUGGGGGCAGGGAUGAUGGCCUUGGUGGCCACAGCUCUUAAACCAGUGGGGAGGAGGCAGCCACGCCAGCAUGGUGAGAUCCAAGCCGCAGUGACGGGGCUGCACUCGCUCCAGGUAGAUUGCUCAAAUGGAAGCUUCUGGAUGGAUAACUAAGGCAGCACAACCCCCAGUCAUUGUCUGAGGGCCACCCUGGGGGAUGGAGCGAGUGCAGGCCAAGUGGAUGCAGGGCCCACGGCCAGUUUCCAGGGUGAGCUGCAGGGCAAGCCGUGGGAAGCCCCAGAGGCAGACGCUGAGGGAUGGGCACCCCAAGAGAGUCCAGGGAUCCGAGGCCACCUGGGUGGAGCCCGGACAGCGUCUACUCCAGGGAGCAAAGCUGAGGCAGGAGCCGAGGGCUUUCCAGUGGAUGUGGAGACUUCGGCUUACUCCCGCACUGACUUUAUCCCAUUUCUGAGCCUGUCGGCACGUGUAGAGCAUUUUGGGCUCAGUUUCUCUAGAGACUAACUGUGGCCUCCCAUGGGGUGGGGACAGGACAGUCUCCCGGCUGCAUGGAAUGGGAUGCCGACCGAGGGACGGGCUCUCUCUUAAAGACUUGCCACCACACCUCUCUUGUCCAUGCCAGGCUUCUGGGGUCCCCUCUGCUGCAGGUGCUUCGGGAGUCUCAGUGGUUCUUCAGGGCAAAGCUGGCCCUGACCGUGUGCUGCAUGCCCGGAGGUCUGACAUCGGUGCUGCUGAGUGGCCUGCCGUGGUUCUCUUGGUUUCCCAUCUUGCAAAGAGUCGGUGAACUCUCACCUGCUCUUGUCUCCUCGUCUCUGUGCCCUGUCCUCCUGCGGGGCUUGGGAAACCAUAGGUGAUAAACACAUGAGCCAAUCUGCCAUCUCCACUGGAGCCAAUGCUCUUUCUGUGUUCCCAUUGGCCUGCCUAGGACUGAGGUCAGCUCCAGGGUCAGAGGCAGGACUGGAGUUGGGUUCUAACUGAGGCAGAGACAGGGCUUGGGAGAAGAAAUCAAGGUGGAGGGCAGAGGCUCCAGGUCUUUGCCAGGCUCACCUCAGAAGUGGGUGUGUCAGGCUGUCCAGAGUGGAGUGCACAGAAGCUGGGGCUUUGACAAGGGCAGGGUGACCAGUCCAGGCUGGCCUCAAAGGCAAGAGCUUGACUGCAGGGCCAGCAGGCGUGUGAUGUGGGUGGGCCCUAAGGAGGCUGAGGGAGAGGAUAAACUGUGAAGAGCCAGCAGCCCAGAAGCUAAAUGCAGGGAGGCAGAGAAGACAGGAGAGAUGGAGGCUUGCAGGACCUGGUGGUUGGGGAGGGCCAGUGACCAGGUGUUUAGAAGCAGCACCUCCUGUGAUUGGGGCUGAGGGUGAACUCUGCUUUCAAGCAGAGGUGGUUUGUCGUGGGUCUUCCAUGAUGACACCAGGUCAAGGUAGGCUGUUAGCACUGAGGCCUGUGGGAAGGCGAGGCCCGUGGGCAGAGUCCCAGAAUGGGAGGAAAAUGAAGACAGCCACUGCAGGGACUUGGGUGUCAUUCUGAAGGAAGCCACUUAAUGGUAAAUGGAGCAACAACAUGGUAGCCUUUCCUCUGGGGGAGCCCAGAGACAAGGGGGGUCUGGGGAGGCAGGCAGGCAGGCAGGCAGGUCAGGCCAGGGAGGGGCUGUGCCCAGCAGGGAAUGGAUGGCACACUCCCUCCCAGAAAGGCUGCUGCAGGGCUCAGCACUCUGAACCUUAAAAGGUUUACCCAACAGAGCCUCCAGAUGCUCAGAGUCUUGCAGGCUCAGAACAAGAAUUGUCAACUUGCCAAGAUGAAUCUGUCUCUCGGGGGAGGACCCACACAGAACAAACGUUUGAAGCAGAAGUUUGCUUGGUAAACAUGGAAUCGGAACAUGGGAAUUGGGCCACUGGGAUAUUCAAUUGCGUCAGACCAUUGUAGCUGAUACUCCUGGACAGAGGGGCUUUGCCAACUGGACAGAUAUAUGAAGUGUUGCUGACCGAGCUCCUUGCUCUGUGUGGGAGGGAUCUUGCCAGCUCCAGCCUUGGUGGGUCUCCUUUUUCUGUUUCCAAGCUUAAAUAAGCACUUGGCUGUUCUGAUUAGCACUUUUAAAAGCUGUGUUAAUAAGUUCAAUUAAAAUAGAAGAAUCUCUCAUUCUGUCAUAUCGGGUUUUUUUAAUUGCAAACCAAUAAAACUUAAAUGAACUUGAGCAAAA